UGAUCCUGGCUCCUGGUUUAAAGAGUGACUGCAUAAACAGGUCCAGGAAGGCUGGCACUCGGAUCUGGGGAGAAACAAGGCCAUUGAAAGGAAUGCAGGAGAGAGAUGGCAGGUGCACUAAUGUGUGCAGCUCUGAGAGAGUGAUGGGACCAGGAACAGGACAGAAACAUUUCAACAGGAAUUUGCACUCACUGACUUAAGAGAAUUAAGAGAAACACAGACUUUCCAAAAUAACCCUUAUGAUGAACAAUGGGGGUAUCCCAUCUUAUUAUUAAAAUGAAAAGCAACUUACAA